UGGAGACAAAGAGAAGCAGCUAUUUGCUAAGGCCACAUGUCAGAGACAGAGAUGGGGCCAGAACCUGGGUCUCCUGACUUCUGGCCUGAAGUCUUUUCAUUAAACCACACCACCCCACACCCCCAGGAAAAGGCUCCUGACAUUACUGGGUACAGAGGCAUGAUGCUUGUUUUUUCAGACCAGCUGUUACAGAUCUAUUUUAGGACAAGCACUUUGAAAAUCAUGGAAGAGGAAUAGGAAGCAAGAUCACCAAGUUGAGAGGAAGAAUGGAAAUGGAAGUUCAAGAAGAAAACGUACCAAAUAGGCAUCUGGGAGAGUCACAGACUGAACAGUCUAGGGAAGUUUUCCAACUGGUCUCCGUGCCCCUUUACACUCCUAAAAAAAUAAUUAUGGAGAAUCCUCAGCA